UCGCCUGCUCCAUUAACAUAUAAAUUUCCUGAGCCAUCUGCUGAAAACAAAAAAGACACGGUUCCACUUAUUUUAUAUACGAUUCUGAAAGAAAACUAACUUAAGAUCAAAGGAAAGAAAUGGCGAAUCUUGCCUUCUGCUCUAA